GUUGAACGCCGGCGGCGUGCCUAAUACAUGCAAGUCGAGCGAACGGACGAGAAGCUUGCUUUUCUGAUGUUAGCGGCGGACGGGUGAGUAACACGUGGAUAACCUACCUAUAAGACUGGGAUAGCUUCGGGAAACCGGAGCUAAUACCGGAUAAUAUUUUGAACCGCAUGGUUCAAAAGUGAAAGACGGUCUUGCUGUCACUUAUAGAUGGAUCCGCGCUGCAUUAGCUAGUUGGUAAGGUAACGGCUUACCAAGGCAACGAUGCAUAGCCGACCUGAGAGGGUGAUCGGCCACACUGGAACUGAGACACGGUCCAGACUCCUACGGGAGGCAGCAGUAGGGAAUCUUCCGCAAUGGGCGAAAGCCUGACGGAGCAACGCCGCGUGAGUGAUGAAGGUCUUCGGAUCGUAAAACUCUGUUAUUAGGGAAGAACAUAUGUGUAAGUAACUGUGCACAUCUUGACGGUACCUAAUCAGAAAGCCACGGCUAACUACGUG
rnacentral:rRNA from 1 species